UACGUAGGGGGCUAGCGUUGUCCGGAAUCAUUGGGCGUAAAGAGCGUGUAGGCGGCUCAGUAAGUCCGCUGUGAAAGUCCAGGGCUCAACCCUGGAAUGCCAGUGGAAACUGUUGAGCUAGAGUCCGGAAGAGGCGAGUGGAAUUCCUGGUGUAGCGGUGAAAUGCGCAGAUAUCAGGAGGAACACCAAUGGCGAAGGCAGCUCGCUGGGACGGUACUGACGCUGAGACGCGAAAGCGUGGGGAGCAAACAGG
rnacentral:rRNA from 1 species